UCUCUCUCUCUCUCUCUCUCCCCUCCUCUCUCUCUUUCCCCUCCAUCGUUUGUAUAUCAUUCAUCAUGUUUUGUAUCGAACGGUAUAGAUCGAAUAAGAUUAACGCACGUUCAUUAAUUACGAUCGAUCGCGCAACUCGCACAUCGUGACUAAUGAAGAAAUCGAUAGUAUGUAACCGGUAUUUGCAUAUCGGCUCGCGUUAGCUUUCACGCGAAGCGUAUCCCGGAAUGCAUAGAACUCGGCGAUCUAUCGAUUUAUCACCUGGCAAGAAUUCACCCACGUAACACGUACGACCACGGUUUCUCGAGGAGCGAGAAUCUAUGUCAUGAUUUAAUAUGGUUUCGAAAGUCGCGAGCCACGAAGUUAUACCAGCGCGGUUUCAGGCUUGUUUGGUAUUUUAUUGUUUUCAAGCUGCCGCUCUCUUUCAUCAUCCUCGUCCUGGUUCCUCCCCGCUAAAUCGCCCGUGCCCUUUCUUUUUCACUGUCUCAUUUUCUCGCCCCAAAUUAUCCUCGCCAUCGCGCCACAAAUCUUCCUUGUCAUGGCGUCCAACUGUCCUCGGAUACGCUCUCACCUUCUCUCUCUCUCUCUCUCUCUCCUCCCCCCUUUAUUUUCUAUAUUCUUCGUUUCAUCUUUUCUUUUUCUCGCUCUUUUCGGUAUCCAUUUCUCGCUCGCUUCCCUCUCUCCGUUCUUUUUUUUCCUCUGUCCCUCCCCUUCCCCUCCUCCCGUUCAUCGAUAAUGGGAUUCGCUCGAUAAGAAAUCGAACGAAAGAAAAAUCUUACUCCAUUUUUCCUCGCGUUUUUGUUCACGCUCCAAAGCGUGACGACAUCGGCAUUCCACGGAUUAUCACACGGAAGCCGCAUCAUCGUUGAAUUAGCAUGGGUCCACCACAUCGCGGUGCACGCUUCUCUCCGUGUAACGUUUUGUAAGCGUUACGCAAUGCACGACGGAAAAUAACUACGAAUAAGAAACGCUGCAGUUUGACGAAGGUCAGUAAAGGAACGCAACGCAAGUGUGUAAUGCAGUAAACAGCACGCGUGACCGUCGGACAAGAAAACGCACGCGAACGCUUCGACUGCAUAUUUCACGCCGUUAUUAUCGGCCGCGAUGCCGUGUAUAUUUUUUUUCCCUCCCUCCCUCCCUCCCACCUCCCCACCACUCCUCCCCCUCCCUUUCCCCUCCCCUCCUCCCCUCCCGUCUCCUCCCCCUCCCUGUUCAACGUCGAUUCGAUUCAUGGCGUCAAUCGGGAAACGUGGAAGGGACUUGGGGUCAAAUCUGCGCGCGAGUUUCUCGCGAAUCGGCCGCAUCACCGAAGACAGAAGCUGCGAUCGACGUUUGACCUAUUUGAAGAGAACCGCAACGCUCGAACCGCGAAAUGGUAUCACGGUUUGUUGUUUCUCUCUUCUGUGCGAAUCUGUUCAAUCGCGUUAAGGAAGUUAAGCUGGCAAGAAGAGAGAUCGCUAUGGAAGAAAAAAAUUCGUUCGUUGAUCAAUUCGAAAUUGAUAUCCCCCUAGGUAGGGGGAUGGAAUCGAAUUAGAGAGAGAAAGAGAAAGAGGGAGAGGAAGGCUAUGCGUGGAAUCUCUGGAAAAAUUCUUCCUUCCGUGGGCAAAAACAUGGACGGAAAGCGGACGGGAUAUUCUCUUGGGAACGGGUUGAAAGAUAGAGUCACGGGAACCGAUCUUCAUUAUGAACAACCUGACACAUAAGAAAAGUUUAGUUUCGUCUCGGAUACGAUUAUUGUAUUGGAACGAUUACGACGAUCGUACACGUUGUGCUUCUCGAACCAAUUAAAACGUUCUUCAAAUAAUGAAAAAAAAAAACGAAUCGGAAAGAGAGAGAGAGAAAGAGAGAGAAUCAAAGUAACGCGUUGUAUUUCGAAUAGAAAAAAAUGUACCAUUCGAAAUAUAAAAGGUUGAACAAAACAUAGUAAAUCAUUGCAUAUCUGACAAAGCUUGUAGUAAACGCGUGGCAGAGAAAAAAUCGUAAAAAUAUAUCGUACAGUGCGUUUGAAAAUUAUCGAUAAUUCAAAGCAAUGCGACACACUUUGUCACAUUUUCCUCGGUUUCGAGAUGAUAGAAAACCACAGCCGAGCCAAUAAAAAAUUAUCUUUUGUAAUUUCUACACUCUUUAAGUUAUUUCGAAGAAUAGAAUUGUGUUUCCACCACGCGAAACACACGUCUGUCCGAUUCUAAUUACCACGUUUCGUCUCGUAGAUAUAAACGAACGUUGAAUAGACACCGCGAUGGAACGUGGUUUUAGAGACAUACAGUCGGGAAGGGACUAUUAUUUUCCACGGCAUGUCCCGAUGUUUCGAACCCAGCCGUGAGAACCGGAAUGAUAGCAUGACCGGAAGAGCGGCUUGAGAACUGAGAGGAGACUUGCAGAUAGUCGUUGAAGAAUCGCAGGUAUAUAUAUAUAUUUAUAUAUAUAUAUAUAUAUACGGUGCACUGAGAAGAUUCGAAUCGUGAGAACCAGACGGGAAAACACGGCGGCCGGAUUCCCUUGCAUACCAGACCGUUCCAUCUUUAUAAUAAAUCACUGGAAACCGUUCUCUUGAUCGAAUUAAUGUUUGUAAAUUAAGCCACGUUUCUACUGAAUCGGCACGCAAUCGCACGAGAGAGGGAGGAGGGAUGGCGAAAGAAAGGUAAAAAAAAAAAAAAAAACGAAACGAAA
rnacentral:lncRNA from 1 species